rnacentral:rRNA from 1 species
UACGUAGGGUCCAAGCGUUAUCCGGAUUUACUGGGCUUAAAGGGUCCGCAGGCGGGCUUGUGCGUCAAAGGUUAAAGAUCUCGGCCCAACCGAGAGAGUGCCUUUGAUACGGCAAGUCUUGAGUAUGAGAGAGGUAGGUAGAAUUCCUGGUGUAGCGGUGAAAUGCGUAGAUAUCAGGAGGAAUACCAGUGGCGAAGGCGGCCUACUGGCUCAUUACUGACGCUCAUGGACGAAAGCGUGGGGAGCGAACAGG